rnacentral:tRNA from 1 species
GCCCCUGUAGCUCAACUGGAUAGAGCGCCACGCUUCGGACGUGGAGGUUGUGGGUUCGAGUCCUGCCGGGGGUACCA